UACAGAGGUCUCAAGCGUUGUUCGGAUUCAUUGGGCGUAAAGGGUGCGUAGGCGGUUGGGUAAGUCUGUCGUGAAAUCUCCGAGCCUAACUCGGAAACUGCGUCGGAUACUAUUCAACUCGAGGAAUGGAGGGGAGACUGGAGUUCUCGGUGUAGCAGUGAAAUGCGUAGAUAUCGAGAGGAACACCAGUGGCGAAGGCGAGUCUCUGGACAUUUCCUGACGCUGAGGCACGAAAGCCAGGGGAGCAAACGGG
rnacentral:rRNA from 1 species